rnacentral:rRNA from 1 species
AGCAGCCGCGGUAAUUCCAGCUCCAAUAGCGUAUAUUAAAGUUGUUGCAGUUAAAAAGCUCGUAGUUGAAUUUCGGGAUCAAAGAAUCGGUCAUGUCUUGGUAUGUACUGGUUUUAUUGGUUCUCACCUUCUAAAGAACCAUAAUGUCAUUUAUUUGAUGUUAUGGGGAAUUAGGACUGUUACCUUGAAAAAUUAGAGUGUUUAAAGCAAGCUUACGCUUGAAUACAUUAGCAUGGAAUAAUGAAAUAGGACAUCAGAUUCUAUUUUGUUGGUUUCUAGGAUCGAUGUAAUGAUUAAUAGGGAUAGUUGGGGGCAUUAGUAUUCAAUUGUCAGAGGUGAAAUUCUUGGAUUUAUUGAAGACUAACUACUGCGAAAGCAUUUGCCAAGGAUGUUUUCAUUAAACAAGAACGAAAGUUAGGGGAUCGAAGACGAUCAGAUACCGUCGUAGUCUUAACCAUAAACUAUGCCGACUAGGGAUCGGAUGAUGUUAAUUUUAUAAUGACUCA